rnacentral:snoRNA from 1 species
UCCAUCAACGACGACGACCUCAUCAGCUACAUCACCGGCCUAGAUGAAGAAUAUGAGCCAGUGAUCUCCAACAUCGUCGGGCGAGAUCAGAUCACCAUCGGGGAAGCCUUGCUCAGAUCAUAAGCUUCGAGC